AGGCGUUCGAGCAAUCGUCGCAAUAUGUUUGGGGCACAAAGAGCACCGUCUAGAUUAGAUGAUUUACAACAUGGAUAUAAUAUAAAUAAAUUAAAAAUAUUUGAAAAAAUGAUAUAACUGAUAAAAUCGUAGACUGAUAAGAAAUUCGCAACGAGUAUUGUUACCAUUACGGUUGUAAACUAGUCUAUAGUUUUAGAUACUAGAU